rnacentral:rRNA from 1 species
CAGUCGCCACGGUAAUACGAAGGGUGCAAGCGUUAAUCGGAAUUACUGGGCGUAAAGCGCACGCAGGCGGUUUGUUAAGUCAGAUGUGAAAUCCCCGAGCUUAACUUGGGAACUGCAUUUGAAACUGGCAAGCUAGAGUCUUGUAGAGGGGGGUAGAAUUCCAGGUGUAGCGGUGAAAUGCGUAGAGAUCUGGAGGAAUACCGGUGGCGAAGGCGGCCCCCUGGACAAAGACUGACGCUCAGGUGCGAAAGCGUGGGGAGCAAACAGGAUUAGAUACCCCUGUAGUCCCUGUCUCUUAUAC